UACGUAGGUGGCAAGCGUUAUCCGGAUUUAUUGGGCGUAAAGGGAACGCAGGCGGUCUUUUAAGUCUGAUGUGAAAGCCUUCGGCUUAACCGGAGUAGUGCAUUGGUAACUGGGAGACUUGAGUGCAGAAGAGGAGAGUGGAACUCCAUGUGUAGCGGUGAAAUGCGUAGAUAUAUGGAAGAACACCAGUGGCGAAAGCGGCUCUCUGGUCUGUAACUGACGCUGAGGUUCGAAAGCGUGGGUAGCAAACAGG
rnacentral:rRNA from 1 species